rnacentral:rRNA from 1 species
UACGUAGGGCGCAAGCGUUGUCCGGAAUCACUGGGCGUAAAGGGCGUGUAGGCGGGAAGGAAAGUCGGGCGUGAAAUCCCCUGGGCUCAACCCAGGAACUGCACUCGAAACUUCUUUUCUUGAGUGCCGGAGAGGAAAGCGGAAUUCCUGGUGUAGAGGUGAAAUUCGUAGAUAUCAGGAGGAACACCAGUGGCGAAGGCGGCUUUCUGGACGGUAACUGACGCUGAGACGCGAAAGCGUGGGGAGCAAACAGG